UGGGAGGGCGUUCCACAGGGCGGGCGCCACUACCGAGAAGGCCCUCUGCCUGGUUCCCUGUAGCUUUGCUUCUCGCAAUGAGGGAACCGCCAGAAGGCCCUCGGCGCUGGACCUCAGCGUCCGGGCAGAACGAUGGGGGUGGAGACGCUCCUUCAGGUAUACUGGGCCGAGGCCGUUUAGGGCUUUAAAGGUCAACACCAACACUUUGAAUUGUGCUCGGAAACGUACUGGGAGCCAAUGUAGGUCUUUCAAGACCGGUGUUAUGUGGUCUCGGCGGCCGAGUCACCAGUCUAGCUGCCGCAUUCUGGAUUAAUUGUAGUUUCCGGGUCACCUUCAAAGGUAGCCCCACGUAGAGCGCAUUGCAGUAGUCCAAGCGGGAGAUAACCAGAGCAUGCACCACUCUGGCGAGACAGUCCGCGGGCAGGUAGGGUCUCAGCCUGCGUACCAGGUGGAGUUGGUAGACAGCUGCCCUGGAUACAGAAUUGACCUGUGCCUCCAUGGACAGCUGUGAGUCCAAAAUGACUCCCAGGCUGCGCACCUGGUCCUUCAGGGGCACAGUUACCCUAUUCAGGACCAGGGAGUCCUCCACACCAGCCCGCCCCCUGUCUCCCAAAAACAAUACUUCUGUCUUGUCAGGAUUCAACUUCAAUCCAUUAGCCGCCAUCCAUCCUCCAACCGCCU